UCGCCCUUUAAACCAAUUCAGAGCCAGCGAUUGUUGCCCACAUCGCCGAACCUGGCUCCCCUUCUCCACCCCAGCAAGCACGCGCGCUUGAAGGCGCCCAGGAGCUCGCCGGCAACACUCAGCAGACGUAGGAGAGCUGCGUGCCUGGUGCGUGUGAAUUUGUGGACGCGAGGCAUUGGAGGCCUCAGCAAGGUUUGGUUUUGGCUCCAAUUUUUUUUCAGAAUCAUAUGCUAAUCUUAUCUAAUGGUCGUUUCUGUUGCAGUUAACAAAUUAUAUUGCCCUGUACUACUUUUUAACAAAUUGGCUCCUACAAAGACUAAUGGAAGGAUCAUCAGACCAACAUAGUCAAAUUGUCUGCUUCAAAUUUUCGGGUAUGUGUAUUGACGGAUUACCUUAAUGCCAAUAUUUCUUGAUUUUUGCUUCAUAUAUGAAAUGAUUUAGCUAGCUCUUGAUGAAUAUCUUUCGGUACACCUGUAAGUUCUGUAGCAAAUGUUUCUUAGCAAUUCUGAUUGUACACUAAAAUUUAGGUGCUUUUGGAGAGCUGAUUGUACAAUAACAUGAUCUACCUUGCAAUAUCAUUUUUCUCACAACUGAUGAAAUUCAGAGCAUCUAAGUCUUAAAUUUAUCUGCUAAAAUAUUGAUGUGUAUCAUUCAUGUUGUCCGGUAAGUUGAGAUUCGCAUUGCUUAAUUAUGUGAUUACAGUUUUGGAGCUGAUCAGUAGCAUGCUGACAUGCAUCAGGAAGCCGACGGACAGCCAUAGUAGGAAGGCGUGGAUCUUGAGCUGCAGCGACAACGACAACUUGGGCGUUACCUGCAAAAAUACAACAGUUCAAGGGUUCAACCAAGUGUAAGUUUGAUUCAGUCAAUUAUUGCAGUUCUACACUGAAACAUUCAGAUUCUUGCAUCCGAAGUUAGAUAGGAACAGGGAAAGAAUCUCCAACGCUUAUUUACAUGGGAAAGAACACUCUUUAACUUUGGUUCAGAUCAUCAGUCUAUCUGAAGCACCAUAGAUUGAGUUUGCAAGCAAAAGGAUCACACAAUCUGACAGUACAAGGAGCAGUCUUUUUCUUCACAUCUUUGUUUUAGCUUGCAUCUGACACUUAU
rnacentral:lncRNA from 1 species